AAACCAUCUAGAUGACCUAAAUUGAAGAAAUUAUCAAGAAGUUCUCUCUCUCAAGCUGAUGGCGAGAACUCAUGUGGGGAUGAUGGUGAGAAGUUGCAAACCAAAGUUGGAAGGGAUUUGGUUGAUGAAAAAGGGAAGGAUGCUGAUAAGCAGCAGAAAGUUUCCGUUGUUGAGAAAUUUGCAGAGGUUAACCUGUCUAAUUCUGAGGCUACAGUGGCUAGCCUAAAGCCACCAAAAUCGCAAUGAGUUUUCUGUGCUGGAAUUGUCAGGGGACCGGUAACUUCACACAAUGAGAACUCUUA
rnacentral:misc_RNA from 1 species